UAGAUGUGCUAUGUCCUUAUAAUAAAGGUCAA
rnacentral:piRNA from 1 species